rnacentral:lncRNA from 1 species
AGCAAGCGCGCGCUCCUCCCGCUCGAACGCGCGCGCGAGCCGCACGCACACGGAACACAGAGGGACGAAGGCGCGAGCGCAGCGCGGCGCGGCACGCGACUCUUACCUGCAGAUGCCCCUGGUACAUAUUGAGUGUGAGGUUAUGGACGUGUCUCACACGCAGUUUUCCCAGUGACCUCCUUCCCAGGAGCGGGUCCCCCCCCCCCCCAAGGCCGCGACAUGGUUUAAAGCUCCCCGGAGCUCCAGUAACUUGGCAGCGAGACGUACCAGAUGGGAGGAGCCCGAAAUCUGAUGAAGUGUGGUCCUUGGCCGUCUCAUCUCUACUCAAGCUGCGCACAAGAGACCGGCCACAAAACAACGCUGUUAAGCAGCAACAUUUCCUGGACAGAAGACUUCUGGCCAAACCACACACAGAAAUAUGUAUUACAGCAUAUUAAAGACCCAUAAACAGUACGUCUUCGCAGAAAUGACAUGUGUGUUUGUAUAAAUUCUCAUUCCGACAGAUGAAAGCAGUAUUUUCCUUUCAUGAGAGC